rnacentral:rRNA from 1 species
UACGUAGGCAGCGAGCGUUGUUCGGAAUUACUGGGCGUAAAGAGUGUGUAGGCGGUGCUCUAAGUUCGGUGUGAAAUCUCCUGCUUAACUGGGAGGGUGCGCCGGAAACUGGAGUGCUCGAGCGUGGGAGAGGAAAGCGGAAUUCCUGGUGUAGCGGUGAAAUGCGUAGAUAUCAGGAGGAACACCCGUGGCUAAGGCGGCUCUCUAGUACGGUACUGACGCUGAGACGCGAAAGCCGUGGGAGCGAAGCAGG